CUUAUUGUGCUACUACAAUAUUAUGUUGAGUUGAAUUGGGCCUUACGUCACAUCGACAUUAUCCCAGCCAUACAGUGACGAGAUCAAGUCUGCAAUCAUAC